rnacentral:misc_RNA from 1 species
GUGGAAGGAUCAUUACCUAGAGUUUGUAGACUUCGGUCUGCUACCUCUUACCCAUGUCUUUUGAGUACCUUCGUUUCCUCGGCGGGUCCGCCCGCCGAUUGGACAACAUUCAAACCCUUUGCAGUUGCAAUCAGCGUCUGAAAAAACAUAAUAGUUACGACUUUCAACAACGGAUCUCUUGGUUCUGGCA